CGCGCAGGCGGGUGCGGAAGUCGGGGGUGAAAGGCCGGGGCUCAACCCCGGACCGUUCUCUCGAUACUCCGUGCCUAGGGACCUGUAGAGGCCAGUGGAAUUCCCGGAGUAGCGGUGGAAUGCGUAGAGAUCGGGAAGAACACCAGAGGCGAAGGCGACUGGCUGGGCCGGAUCCGACGCUCAGGCGCGAAAGCGUGGGGAGCAAACA
rnacentral:rRNA from 1 species